UUCGCCCUUUUCCGGUUGAUCCUGCCGGACCCGACUGCUAUCGGAUUGAGAUUUAGCCAUGCGAGUCGAACGCUUCCCUGUUGCGGGAGGCGUGGCGUACGGCUCAGUAACACGUAGUCAACCUGCCCUGGAGACAUGGACAACCCCGGGAAACUGGGAUUAAUCCAUGAUAGGUCAUCUCAUCUGGAAGGAGAGAUGGCUUAAAGGGGUGCGAGAGCUUCUUUCUUGUAUCUGCUCCAGGAUGGGACUGCGGCCGAUCAGGCUGUUGGUGGGGUAAUGGCCCACCAAACCUGUAACCGGUACGGGCCUUGAGAGAGGGGGCCCGGAGAUGGACACUGAGAGAAGGGUCCAGGUCCUACGGGGCGCAGCAGGCGCGUAACCUUCGCAAUGCGCGAAAGCGUGACGAGGUUAAUCCGAGUGGUCCCCGCUGAGGGGAUCUUUUGUCGGCUGUAAAAAGGCCGGUGAAUAAGGGGAGGGCAAGUCUGGUGUCAGCCGCCGCGGUAAUACCAACUCCUCGAGUGGUCGGGGCGAUUAUUGGGCCUAAAGCAUCCGUAGCCUGUUCUGUAGGUCCUCUGUUAAAUCCAACGGCUUAACCGUUGGCCCGCAGAGGAUACCGCAGGACUAGGAGGCGGGAGAGGUGGACGGUACUCCACGUGUAGGGGUAAAAUCCUUUAAUCCGUGGAAGACCACCAGUGGCGAAGGCGGUCCACCAGAACGCGCUCGACGGUGAGGGAUGAAAGCUGGGGGAGCGAACCGGAUUAGAUACCCGGGUAGUCCCAGCCGUAAACGAUGCAAGCUAGAUGAUCCGGUCGCAAAUCGCGAUCGGAGUGUCGCAGGGAAGCCGUUAAGCUUGCCGCCUGGGGAGUACGGUCGCAAGACUGAAACUUAAAGGAAUUGGCGGAGGAGCACCACAAGGGGUGAAGCCUGCGGUUCAAUUGGAGUCAACGCCAGGGAACUUACCAGGAGAGACAGCUGGUUGAGGGUCAAGCUGAGGACUUUACCUGACGAGCUGAGAGGAGGUGCAUGGCCGUCGCCAGCUCGUGCCGUGAGGCGUCCUGUUAAGUCAGGCAACGAGCGAGACCCAAAGGGCGAA
rnacentral:rRNA from 2 species